UACGUAGGGGGCAAGCGUUGUUCGGAAUUACUGGGCGUAAAGGGCGCGUAGGCGGCACGGCAAGUCGGGAGUGAAAGCCCGGGGCUCAACCCCGGAACGGCUUUCGAAACUGCCGAGCUAGAGUGCGGAAGGGGCAACUGGAAUUCCCAGUGUAGCGGUGAAAUGCGUAGAUAUUGGGAAGAACACCUGAGGCGAAGGCGGGUUGCUGGGCCGACACUGACGCUGAGGCGCGAAAGCCAGGGGAGCGAACGGG
rnacentral:rRNA from 1 species